GAUGAAUGCUGGCGGCGUGCCUAACACAUGCAAGUCGAGCGGCAGCGAGGGGUGCUUGCACCCUGUCGGCGAGCGGCGAACGGCUGAGUAACGCGUAGGAAUUUGCCCCAAAGUGAGGAAUAACUGCCCGAAAGGGUAGCUAAUGCCGCAUAUGGUCUUCGGAUUAAAGGAUUUAUCCGCUUUGGGAGAAGCCUGCGUUGGAUUAGGUUGUUGGUAGGGUAAUGGCCUACCAAGCCGACGAUCCAUAGCUGGUCUGAGAGGAUGAUCAGCCAGACUGGAACUGAGACACGGUCCAGACUCCUACGGGAGGCGGCAGUGAGGAAUCUUCCACAAUGGGCGAAAGCCUGAUGGAGCAACGCCGCGUGAAGGAUGAAGGCCUUCGGGUUGUAAACUUCUUUUAUGAGUGGAGAAUAUGACGGUAACUCAUGAAUAAGCACCGGCUAACUACGUG
rnacentral:rRNA from 1 species